UACACCUUGCUCCAGACUAAGCGAGACUCUGAGAGGAAGCACAGAGGCAAAGACCCGCCCCACCCCCUGCCUUCUUUGCAGCUCUGAUGAAGACAUCUAGACAGAAGCAGAAGAGGGAGAGGCGAGAGCAGAGCACAACAGAAAAACAUGUCAUAGGAAAUUGUCACAUGCUCCUGCCCUGACUCCUCAUGCACGUCUUUUAUUCCAGCACUCAGGAAGCACAGGCAAGCAGAUCUCUUGGUUCGAAGUCAGCCUGGUCUACAUAGAGAGUUCCAAUAAUGCGACCCAGAAAAGGAGCCAUCCAGUCACCCCGGGACACCUGUCCUGACAGAAUCACCCUGACAACGACAGCCCCUUCCCGGGAUCAACUGGCCUCACUGAAACUUCUGCCUGUCCAGGGGUUCUCAACCUUCCUAAUGCAGCGACAACAUGCCCAGCUUUUCCAUGGAACUCCUCCAGUCCUCUGGUCCUUGUGCCUGCACGGCAUUUUACCCACAGCCAUUUCCUCAGUGCCCCUUGGGAUCAUUUUUGUCAGAGCUGGCAGCUUUCUCAUCGGGCAGAAUUCCCAGAGAUAAUGUUCGGUUGGAACCUCCAGCUUGCUCCUGCACGAUCUGGAAAGCCC